rnacentral:rRNA from 1 species
UACGGAGGAUGCGAGCGUUAUCCGGAUUCAUUGGGUUUAAAGGGUGCGUAGGCGGGAUGCCAAGUCAGCGGUAAAAAUGCGGUGCUCAACGCCGUCGAGCCGUUGAAACUGGCGUUCUUGAGUGGGCGAGAAGUAUGCGGAAUGCGUGGUGUAGCGGUGAAAUGCAUAGAUAUCACGCAGAACUCCGAUUGCGAAGGCAGCAUACCGGCGCCCUACUGACGCUGAGGCACGAAAGCGUGGGUAUCGAACAGG